GAACGCUGGCGGCGUGCUUAAUACAUGCAAGUCGAGCGCGUGUAGCAAUACACGAGCGGCGGACGGGUGAGUAACGCGUGGGCAAUCUGCCCUCUAGCCUGGGAUAACAGUUCGAAAGGACUGCUAACACCGGAUAUGCUCACAGCCUGGCAUCAGGCGGUGAGGAAAGUUUACACUAGAGGAUGAGCCCGCGUCCCAUUAGCUAGUUGGUGAGGUAACGGCCCACCAAGGCGACGAUGGGUAGCCGACCUGAGAGGGUGAACGGCCACACUGGGACUGAGACACGGCCCAGACUCCUACGGGAGGCAGCAGUAGGGAAUUUUCCGCAAUGGGCGAAAGCCUGACGGAGCAACGCCGCGUGAGGGAUGAAGGUCUUCGGAUCGUAAACCUUUGUCUAGAGGGACGAUAAUGACGGUACCUCUGGAGGAAGCCACGGCUAACUACGUGCCAGCAGCCGCGGUAAUACGUAGGUGGCAAGCGUUGUCGGAAUUACUGGGCGUAAAGGGCGUGUAGGCGGCCUUUUAAGUCGACUGAAAUCUCUUGGGCUUAACCCAAAAAU
rnacentral:rRNA from 1 species